UUGCCCUGGGAACCGGAGCAGGGGCCCCGGGAGGGCCCUGCGCCAAGGGCAAGGCUGCCUCGAUGCGCAGAAGCCUCAGCAUCGUCCUGGCCUCGCUUGGGUCUUAACUUUUCCGUUUUGAAUACUAACUUUGGCUUUUGUCUCUUUUUUUAAACUACAGGUACUGUUUUCAUUAAAGGCGUUCUAAACACAAGAGUACUUUCCUAACUUUAGCCCCAGUUCCUGUCCGCAAAGGAAGCCUAUUAAGAAUUUCUUUAUAUCCAUAACCUGCAUAAUAUGCGUACAGAAGAGAUUUCUAAUCUGAAAAAUCAGUUGAAAGUAGGAAAGAAGAACUUAAGUGAAAUGGAAAAGGUCAAGAAGUAGAUUGAACAAGAAAAGACUGAAGUCCAAAUGGCAUCGGAAGAGGCCGAGGAAGCUCUGGAACGCAACGAAAGCAAGAUUCUUCGUCUGCAGCUUGAACUCUCAGAAACUAAAGCGGAAAUUGAAAGAAAGCUUUCAGAGAAAGAUGAAGAGAUAGAAAAAUAGGAGGAAGCAGCAGUGUGCUAUUGACUCCCUGCAGUCGAGUCUAGAUUCUGAAGUUCGGAGCAGAAUUGAGG
rnacentral:lncRNA from 1 species